rnacentral:rRNA from 1 species
CUGAAUAAUCCAGCAGAGCACAUGGGCUCGUCCCGGUGCCAAAUCUUUCAAGUGUCUGCUCUAUCAACUUUCGAUGGUAGUUUAUGUGACUACCAUGGUUGUGACGGGUAACGGAGGAUUAGGGUCUGACUCCGGAGAGGGAGCCUGAGAAACGGCUACCACUUCUAAGGAAGGCAGCAGGCGCGCAAAUUACCCAUUCUCAGUACGAGGAGGUAGUGACGAAAAAUACCAAGGUGAGGCCCUAUGGGUUUCGCCAUUGGAAUGAGAACAAUAUAAAUCUUUUAACGAGUAACAAGUGGAGGGCAAGUCUGGUGCCAGCAGCCGCGGUAAUUCCAGCUCCACAAGUGUAUUCCUAUAUUGUUGCGGUUAAAAAG